CCUACGGGAGGCAGCAGUGGGGGAUAUUGCACAAUGGGGGGAACCCUGAUGCAGCGACGCCGCGUGGGUGAAGAAGCGCCUCGGCGCGUAAAGCCCUGUCAGCAGGGAAGAAAAUGACGGUACCUGAAUAAGAAGCCCCGGCUGACUCCGUGCCAGCAGCCGCGGUCAUACGUAGGGGGCAAGCGUUAUCCGGAUUGACUGGGUGUAAAGGUGGCGCAGACGGCGAUGCAAGCCAGGAGGGAAAGCCCGGGGCCCAACCCCGGGACUGCUCUUGGAACUGAGUGGCUGGAGUGCAGGAGGGGCAGGCGGAAUUCCUGGUGUAGCGGUGAAAUGCGUAGAUAUCAGGAGGAACACCGGUGGCGAAGGCGGCCUGCUGGACUGCAACUGACGUUGAGGCCCGAAAGCGUGGGGAGCAAACAGGAUUAGAUACCCGUGUAGUC
rnacentral:rRNA from 1 species